rnacentral:tRNA from 1 species
CCACUGGUGGUCCAUGGUUAAGACUCUGCACUUGCGAUGCAGAGGGCACAGGUUUGAUCCCUGGUCAGGGAA